rnacentral:lncRNA from 1 species
GUGACAUUUCCCCAUCUACAAGCCUGCCACCUCUGGUUGAAGGACAGUUACGAUGCUUUCUCAAACUUACUAUUAACAAGGUCGUAUGGAAGAUUGCGAAGCCUCCUGCUUCUGUACUUGUCCGAGUGAGAUGGUGGGGAGAAACAUCGGACGGAACCCUCUUUUGUCCCAGGGACGCAUUACAGACUGAGCCAAAAGCUGUGAGAACAACUACCCGUUAUGCUAUUCGCUGUGGCCCGAAGCAGUUCACCUCAUACCUAACAGAUAUGGCCGUGCUGGUGUUGGAAGUAAUCACCAAGUUUGAUCAUCUUCCAGUCGGCAGAGUUCAGAUCAGUGGACUCGCCCAGCUCUCUCCAACCCAUCAAAUCAAUGGGUUUUUUACCAUUGUUUCACCAGCGUCUAAGAAACUU